rnacentral:RNase_P_RNA from 1 species
AAAGUCCGGGCAACACAGAGCAUCCUGCCUCCUGUUAAAGGAGGGUGUAGCUAAAGCGAUGAAGCUAUAACAGAAAGUGCCACAGAGAAAAUAAUUCCACCGGCAAUGUAUUGCAUGGAGGUAAAGGUGAAAACGUGAGGUAAGAGCUUACGGGCAUUUUCAGCAAUGAAAAUGCAAGGUAAACCUCAGGAGUUGAAAGGCAAAAUAAAUCACGAACAGGUAAUGGCUCGUUGCCGUUUGUUCAGCAAUGAACAUCUUCGUGAAGGGUAUGCCGCAAACAGACAAAUGAUAGGGGAUUUGAUUGCUGCAAAGUAUUCAGAUAACAGAAUCCGGCUUACAGGCUUGCUUUUUAU